UCGCUGGCAGAUGAGCAAUGGGGGGAGAGGGUUUAGGUCUUGCGUUGAGCCGUACCCAUAUCUGCAUCAGGUCUCCAAGGGGAACGGCCUCUGGCAUGUUGGAACAAUGUAGGUAAGAGAAGUCGGCAAGCUGGAUCUGUAACUUCGGGAUAGGGAUUGGCUCUAAGGGUUGGGUCAGUCGGGCUGGGGCACAAAGCGGGGCUGGGCGUGUGCCGCGGCUGGAUGACACACCAUGCGCUACCCUCCUGGGCGCAUGUGCAGCGGCGAAUCUGGAUGUGCACCGGGCCCUUCCCAUGGCUCCCGCGGGUGCCACACCCCCCCCCCCCCUUCCCGCUCCUGCCCCCCCCCCCGGUCCCCCUG
rnacentral:ncRNA from 1 species